rnacentral:rRNA from 1 species
UGAUCCAGCCAUGCCGCGUGAGUGAAGAAGGCCUUCGGGUUGUAAACUGCUUUUGUCCGGGAAGAAAACGCUCUGGUUAAUACCUGGUGCUCAUGACGGUACCGUAAGAAUAAGCACCGGCUAACUACGUGCCAGCAGCCGCGGUAAUACGUAGGGUGCAAGCGUUAAUCGGAAUUACUGGGCGUAAAGCGUGCGCAGGCGGUUUUGUAAGACAGAGGUGAAAUCCCCGGGCUCAACCUGGGAACUGCCUUUGUGACUGCUAGGCUUGAGUGCGGCAGAGGGGGAUGGAAUUCCACGUGUAGCAGUGAAAUGCGUAGAUAUGGCGAGGAACACCGAUGGCGAAGGCAAUCCCCUGGACCUGUACUGACGCUCAUGCACGAAAGCGUGGGGAGCAAACAGGAUUAGAUACCCUGGUAGUCCACGCCCUAAACGAUGUCAACUGGUUGUUGG